GGAAUCUUGAGAAAUGGGCGAAAGCCUGACGGAGCAACGCCGCGUGAGUGAUGAAGGUUUUCGGAUCGUAAAGCUCUGUUGCCAGGGAAGAACGUCUUGUAGAGUAACUGCUACAAGAGUGACGGUACCUGAGAAGAAAGCCCCGGCUAACUACGUGCCAGCAGCCGCGGUAAUACGUAGGGGGCAAGCGUUGUCCGGAAUUAUUGGGCGUAAAGCGCGCGCAGGCGGCUCUUUAAGUCUGGUGUUUAAUCCCGAGGCUCAACUUCGGGUCGCACUGGAAACUGGCGAGCUUGAGUGCAGAAGAGGAGAGUGGAAUUCCACGUGUAGCGGUGAAAUGCGUAGAGAUGUGGAGGAACACCAGUGGCGAAGGCGACUCUCUGGGCUGUAACUGACGCUGAGGCGCGAAAGCGUGGGGAGCAAACAGGA
rnacentral:misc_RNA from 1 species